CUGCGCGGAAGAUGUAACGGGGCUAAACCAUGCACCGAAGCUGCGGCAGCGACACUAUGUGUUGUUGGGUAGGGGAGCGUUCUGUAAGUCUGCGAAGGUGACCUGUGAGGGUUGCUGGAGGUAUCAGAAGUGCGAAUGCUGACAUAAGUAACGAUAAAGCGGGUGAAAAGCCCGCUCGCCGGAAGACCAAGGGUUCCUGUCCAACGUUAAUCGGGGCAGGUGAGUCGACCCCUAAGGCGAGGCCGAAAGGCGUAGUCGAUGGGAAACAGGUUAAUAUUCCUGUACUUGGUGUUACUGCGAAGGGGGGACGGA
rnacentral:rRNA from 1 species